GACAGAGGUGCCGAGCGUUAGGCGGAAUCACUGGGCUUAAAGCGUGUGUAGGCGGGUCCGUAAGUACCUUGUGAAAUCCCACGGCUCAACCGUGGAGCUGCUUGGUAUACUGCGGGUCUUGAGCCACCUAGGGGCAAGUGGAACAAACGGUGGAGCGGCGAAAUGCGUAGAUAUCGUUUGGAACGCCAAUGGUGAAAACAACUUGCUGGGGGUGUGCUGACGCUGAGACACGAAAGCCAGGGGAGCAAACGGG
rnacentral:rRNA from 1 species